ensembl:rRNA 5S_rRNA 5S ribosomal RNA
ACCUACAGCCAUGCCACUCUGAACACACCCGGUCUCAUCUGAUCUUGGAAGCUAAGUAGGGUCGGGCCUGCUUAGUAUUUGGAUGAAGGACAAUAGAACCUUACCAAGCAAUAAAAGGGAAUAAGCAAUUGAUA